AUUGAACGCUGGCGGCAUGCCUUACACAUGCAAGUCGAACGGCAGCACGGGGGCAACCCUGGUGGCGAGUGGCGAACGGGUGAGUAAUGCAUCGGAACGUGCCCUGAAGUGGGGGAUAACGUAGCGAAAGUUACGCUAAUACCGCAUAUUCUGUGAGCAGGAAAGCAGGGGAUCGCAAGACCUUGCGCUUUAGGAGCGGCCGAUGUCGGAUUAGCUAGUUGGUGGGGUAAGAGCUCACCAAGGCGACGAUCCGUAGCGGGUCUGAGAGGAUGAUCCGCCACACUGGGACUGAGACACGGCCCAGACUCCUACGGGAGGCAGCAGUGGGGAAUUUUGGACAAUGGGCGCAAGCCUGAUCCAGCCAUGCCGCGUGAGUGAAGAAGGCCUCGGUUGU
rnacentral:rRNA from 1 species